CCUACGGGGCGCAGCAGUGAGGAAUAUUGGUCAAUGGCCGGAAGGCUGAACCAGCCAUGCCGCGUGAAGGUCAAUGCCCUAUGGGCGUUAAACUUCUUUUGUGCGGGAGCAAUAAUGGUCACGUGUGGCCCGACGAGAGUACCGUACGCAUAAGCAUCGGCUAACUCCGUGCCAGCAGCCGCGGUAAUACGGGGGAUGCAAGCGUUAUCCGGAGUUGUUGGGUUUAAAGGGUGCGUAGGCUGUGAGGUAAGUCAGGGGUGAAAUGCCCCCGCUCAACGGGGUGAAGUGCCAUUGAUACUGCCAGACUGGAAUGUGGAUGCGGAGGGAGGAAUGCGUGGUGUAGCGGUGAAAUGCAUAGAUAUCACACAGAACACCGAUUGCGAAGGCAUCUCACGAAUCCGCGAUUGACGCUGAUGAACGAAAGCGUGGGUAUCAAACAGGAUUAGAUACCCUAGUAGUC
rnacentral:rRNA from 1 species